rnacentral:rRNA from 1 species
CACGUAAACGAUGUCGACUUGGAGGUUGUGCCCUGAGGCGUGGCUUCCGGAGCUAACGCGUUAAGUCGACCGCCUGGGGAGUACGGCCGCAAGGUUAAAACUCAAAUGAAUUGACGGGGGCCCGCACAAGCGGUGGAGCAUGUGGUUUAAUUCGAUGCAACGCGAAGAACCUUACCUGGCCUUGACAUCCAGAGAACUUAGCAGAGAUGCUUUGGUGCCUUCGGGAACUCUGAGACAGGUGCUGCAUGGCUGUCGUCAGCUCGUGUUGUGAAAUGUUGGGUUAAGUCCCGCAACGAGCGCAACCCUUAUCCUUUGUUGCCAGCGGUUCGGCCGGGAACUCAAAGGAGACUGCCGGUGAUAAACCGGAGGAAGGUGGGGAUGACGUCAAGUCAUCAUGGCCCUUACGGCCAGGGCUACACACGUGCUACAAUGGCGCAUACAAAGAGAAGCGACCUCGCGAGAGCAAGCGGACCUCAUAAAGUGCGUCGUAGUCCGGAUUGGAGUCUGCAACUCGACUCCAUGAAGUCGGAAUCGCUAGUAAUCGUAGAUCAGAAUGCUACGGUGAAUACGUUCCCGGGCCUUGUACACACCGCCCGUCACACCAUGGGAGUGGGUUGCAAAAGAAGUAGGUAGCUUAACCUCCGGGAGGGCGCUUACCACUUUGUGAUUCAUGACUGGGGUGAAGUCGUAACAAGGUAACCAAGGGCGAAUUCUG